rnacentral:rRNA from 1 species
GCAGUGGGGAAUAUUGGACAAUGGGCGCAAGCCUGAUCCAGCCAUGCCGCGUGAGUGAUGAAGGCCUUAGGGUUGUAAAGCUCUUUCAGUAGGGAAGAUAAUGACGGUACCUACAGAAGAAGCCCCGGCUAACUUCGUGCCAGCAGCCGCGGUAAUACGAAGGGGGCUAGCGUUGUUCGGAUUUACUGGGCGUAAAGCGCACGUAGGCGGUUUGUUAAGUCAGAGGUGAAAUCCCGGAGCUCAACUCCGGAACUGCCUUUGAUACUGGCAAGCUAGAGUCCGGAAGAGGUAAGUGGAACUCCUAGUGUAGAGGUGGAAUUCGUAGAUAUUAGGAAGAACACCAGUGGCGAAGGCGGCUUACUGGUCCGGAACUGACGCUGAGGUGCGAAAGCGUGGGGAGCAAACAGGAUUAGA